CCUACGGGUGGCAGCAGUGAGGAAUAUUGGUCAAUGGACGAGAGUCUGAACCAGCCAAGUAGCGUGAAGGAUGACUGCCCUAUGGGUUGUAAACUUCUUUUAUAUGGGAAUAAAAUGUUCCACGUGUGGGAUUUUGUAUGUACCAUAUGAAUAAUGAUCGGCUAACUCCGUGCCAGCAGCCGCGGUAAUCCGGAGGAUCCGAGCGUUAUCCGGAUUUAUUGGGUUUAAAGGGAGCGUAGGUGGAUUGUUAAGUCAGUUGUGAAAGUUUGCGGCUCAACCGUAAAAUUGCAGUUGAAACUGGCAGUCGUGAGUACAGUAGAGGUGGGCGGAAUGCGUGGUGUAGCGGUGAAAUGCUUAGAUAUCACGAAGAACUCCGAUUGCGAAGGCAGCUCACUGGACUGCAACUGACACUGAGGCUCGAAAGUGUGGGUAUCAAACAGGAUUAGAUACCCCUGUAGUC
rnacentral:rRNA from 1 species